AGUGAACGCUGGCGGUAGGCCUAACACAUGCAAGUCGAACGGCAGCACAGUAAGAGCUUGCUCUUACGGGUGGCGAGUGGCGGACGGGUGAGGAAUACAUCGGAAUCUACUUUUUCGUGGGGGUUAACGUAGGGAAACUUACGCUAAUACCGCAUACGACCUACGGGUGAAAGCAGGGGAUCUUCGGACCUUGCGCGAUUGAAUGAGCCGAUGUCGGAUUAGCUAGUUGGCGGGGUAAAGGCCCACCAAGGCGACGAUCCGUAGCUGGUGUGAGAGGAUGGUCAGCCACACUGGAACUGAGACACGGUCCAGACUCCUACGGGAGGCAGCAGUGGGGAAUAUUGGACAAUGGGCGCAAGCCUGAUCCAGCCAUACCGCGUGGGUGAAGAAGGCCUUCGGGUUGUAAAGCCCUUCUGUUGGGAAAGAAAAGCAGCAGGUUAAUACCCCGCUGUUCUGACGGUACCCAAAGAAUAAGCACCGGCUAACUUCGUG
rnacentral:rRNA from 1 species